AGCUUGCUCCACCGAAAGAAAAAGAGUGGCGAACGGGUGAGUAACACGUGGGUAACCUGCCCAUCAGAAGGGGAUAACACUUGGAAACAGGUGCUAAUACCGUAUAACACUAUUUUCCGCAUGGAAGAAAGUUGAAAGGCGCUUUUGCGUCACUGAUGGAUGGACCCGCGGUGCAUUAGCUAGUUGGUGAGGUAACGGCUCACCAAGGCAACGAUGCAUAGCCGACCUGAGAGGGUGAUCGGCCACACUGGGACUGAGACACGGCCCAGACUCCUACGGGAGGCAGCAGUAGGGAAUCUUCGGCAAUGGACGAAAGUCUGACCGAGCAACGCCGCGUGAGUGAAGAAGGUUUUCGGAUCGUAAAACUCUGUUGUUAGAGAAGAACAAGGAUGAGAGUAAAAUGUUCAUCCCUUGACGGUAUCUAACCAGAAAGCCACGGCUAACUACGUGCCAGCAGCCGCGGUAAUACGUAGGUGGCAAGCGUUGUCCGGAUUUAUUGGGCGUAAAGCGAGCGCAGGCGGUUUCUUAAGUCUGAUGUG
rnacentral:rRNA from 1 species